GGAUGGGUGGCCGAGUGGUCGAAGGCGCUCGCCUGCUAAGCGAGUAUGGGUGUUAAAAGCCCAUCGAGGGUUCGAAUCCCUCCCCAUCCGCCA
rnacentral:tRNA from 1 species